CCUACGGGUGGCAGCAGUGAGGAAUAUUGGUCAAUGGACGCAAGUCUGAACCAGCCAUGCCGCGUGCAGGAAGACGGCCCUAUGAGUUGUAAACUGCUUUUGUACGAGGGUAAACGCAGAUACGCGUAUCUGUCUGAACGUAUCGUACGAAUAAGGAUAGGCUAACUCAGUGCCAGCCGCCGCGGUAAUACGGAGGAUUCAAGCGUUAUCCGGAUUUAUUGGGUUUAAAGGGUGCGUAGGCGGUCGGAUAAGUUAGAGGUGAAAUCCCGGGGCUCAACUUCGGAAUUGCCUCGGAUACUGUUCGGCUAGAGAGUAGUUGCGGUAGGCGGAAUGUAUGGUGUAGCGGUGAAAUGCGUAGAGAUCAUACAGAACACCGAUUGCGAAGGCAGCUUACCAAGCUACUUCUGACGUUGAGGCACGAAAGCGUGGGGAGCAAACAGGAUUAGAUACCCGUGUAGUC
rnacentral:rRNA from 1 species